rnacentral:rRNA from 1 species
AUGAACGCUAGCUACAGGCUUAACACAUGCAAGUCGAGGGGCAGCAUGAACUUAGCUUGCUAAGUUUGAUGGCGACCGGCGCACGGGUGAGUAACACGUAUCCAACCUGCCGAUGACUCGGGGAUAGCCUUUCGAAAGAAAGAUUAAUACCCGAUGGCAUAGUUCUUCCGCAUGGUAGAACUAUUAAAGAAUUUCGGUCAUCGAUGGGGAUGCGUUCCAUUAGGUUGUUGGCGGGGUAACGGCCCACCAAGCCUUCGAUGGAUAGGGGUUCUGAGAGGAAGGUCCCCCACAUUGGAACUGAGACACGGUCCAAACUCCUACGGGAGGCAGCAGUGAGGAAUAUUGGUCAAUGGACGAGAGUCUGAACCAGCCAAGUAGCGUGAAGGAUGACUGCCCUAUGGGUUGUAAACUUCUUUUAUACGGGAAUAAAGUGAGGCACGUGUGCCUUUUUGUAUGUACCGUAUGAAUAAGGAUCGGCUAACUCCGUGCCAGCAGCCGCGGUAAUACGGAGGAUCCGAGCGUUAUCCGGAUUUAUUGGGUUUAAAGGGAGCGUAGGCGGACGCUUAAGUCAGUUGUGAAAGUUUGCGGCUCAACCGUAAAAUUGCAGUUGAUACUGGGUGUCUUGAGUACAGUAGAGGCAGGCGGAAUUCGUGGUGUAGCGGUGAAAUGCUUAGAUAUCACGAAGAACUCCGAUUGCGAAGGCAGCUUGCUGGACUGUAACUGACGCUGAUGCUCGAAAGUGUGGGUAUCAAACAGGAUUAGAUACCCUGGUAGUCCACACCGUAAACGAUGGAUACUAGGUGUAGGGUGUGAUAAACGCUCUGUGCCGUCGCAAACGCAGUAAGUAUCCCACCUGGGGAGUACGGCCGCAAGGUUGAAACUCAAAGGAAUUGACGGGGGCCCGCACAAGCGGAGGAACAUGUGGUUUAAUUCGAUGAUACGCGAGGAACCUUACCCGGGCUUGAAUUGCAACUGAAUGAUGUGGAGACAUGUCAGCCGCAAGGCAGUUGUGAAGGUGCUGCAUGGUUGUCGUCAGCUCGUGCCGUGAGGUGUCGGCUUAAGUGCCAUAACGAGCGCAACCCUUAUCGAUAGUUACCAUCAGGUUAUGCUGGGGACUCUGUCGAGACUGCCGUCGUAAGAUGUGAGGAAGGUGGGGAUGACGUCAAAUCAGCACGGCCCUUACGUCCGGGGCUACACACGUGUUACAAUGGGGGGUACAGAAGGCAGCUACACGGCGACGUGAUGCUAAUCCCUAAAGCCUCUCUCAGUUCGGAUUGGAGUCUGCAACCCGACUCCAUGAAGCUGGAUUCGCUAGUAAUCGCGCAUCAGCCACGGCGCGGUGAAUACGUUCCCGGGCCUUGUACACACCGCCCGUCACACCAUGAGAGUUGGGAAUACCCGAAGCCUGUGAGCUAACUUUUAGAGGCAGCAGUCGAAGGUAGAAUCAAUGAUUGGGGUG